rnacentral:rRNA from 1 species
GCCAGCAGCCGCGGUAAUACAUAGGUCACAAGCGUUAUCCGGAAUUAUUGGGCGUAAAGCGUUCGUAGGCGGUUUGUUAAGUCUGGAGUUAAAGACUGGGGCUCAACCCCAGCCCGCUCUGGAUACUGGCUGACUAGAGUUACAUAGAGGUAAGUGGAAUUCUUAGUGGAGCGGUGGAAUGCGUAGAUAUUAGGAAGAACACCAAUGGCGAAGGCAGCUUACUGGAUGUACACUGACGCUCAGGGACGAAAGCGUGGGGAGCAAACAGGAUUAGAUACCCUGGUAGUCCACGCCGUAAACGAUGAUCAUUAGCCGCUAGAAUAUUUAGUGGCGCGGCUAACGCAUUAAAUGAUCCGCCUGAGUAGUAUGCUCGCAAGAGUGAAACUUAAAGGAAUUGACGGGGACCCGCACAAGCGGUGGAGCAUGUGGUUUAAUUUGAAGAUACGCGUAGAACCUUACCCACUCUUGACAUCUUCCGCAAUACUAUGGAGACAUAGUGGAGGUUAACGGAAUGACAGAUGGUGCAUGGUUGUCGUCAGCUCGUGCCGUGAGGUGUUAGGUUAAGUCCUGCAACGAGCGCAACCCCUGUCUUUAGUUACUAACGGAUAAUGCCGAGGACUCUAGAGAGACUGACUGGGUAACCAGUAGGAAGGUGGGGACGACGUCAAAUCAUCAUGCCUCUUACGAGUGGGGCAACACACGUGCUACAAUGGACGGUACAAAGAGAAGCAAUAUGGUGACAUGGAGCAAACCUCAAAAAACCGUUCUCAGUUCGGAUUGAAGUCUGAAACUCG